UAAUGCGAUAAGUAAUGUGAAUUGCAGAAUUCAGUGAAUCAUCGAAUCUUUGAACGCACCUUGCGCUCCUUGGUAUUCCUUGGAGCAUGCCUGUUUGAGUAUCAUGAAAUCUUCAAAGUAAAUCUUUUGUUAACUCAAUUGGUUUCUACUUUGGUAUUGGAGGUCUUUGCAGCUUCACACCUGCUCCUCUUUGUUCAUUAGCUGGAUCUCAGUGUUAUGCUUGGUUCCACUCGGCGUGAUAAGUUAUCUAUCGCUGAGGACACUGUAAAAGGUGGCCAAGGUAAAUGCAGAUGAACCGCUUCUAAUAGUCCAUUGACUUGGACAAUACUUUUAUGAUCUGAUCUCAAAUCAGGUAGGACUACCCGCUGAACUUAAGC
rnacentral:misc_RNA from 1 species